rfam:Trichobilharzia regenti genome assembly, scaffold: TRE_scaffold0055665
CUGCUGUCGAAGAGUCCCAAACUAGGACGAAACAGCUGUCUAGCAC